rnacentral:rRNA from 1 species
AUUGAACGCUGGCGGCAGGCCUAACACAUGCAAGUCGAGCGGAUGAAGGGAGCUUGCUCCUGGAUUCAGCGGCGGACGGGUGAGUAAUGCCUAGGAAUCUGCCUGGUAGUGGGGGAUAACGUCCGGAAACGGGCGCUAAUACCGCAUACGUCCUGAGGGAGAAAGUGGGGGAUCUUCGGACCUCACGCUAUCAGAUGAGCCUAGGUCGGAUUAGCUAGUUGGUGGGGUAAAGGCCUACCAAGGCGACGAUCCGUAACUGGUCUGAGAGGAUGAUCAGUCACACUGGAACUGAGACACGGUCCAGACUCCUACGGGAGGCAGCAGUGGGGAAUAUUGGACAAUGGGCGAAAGCCUGAUCCAGCCAUGCCGCGUGUGUGAAGAAGGUCUUCGGAUUGUAAAGCACCUUAAGUUGGGAGGAAGGGCAGUAAGUUAGUACCUUGCUGUUUUGGCGUUACCAACAGAAUAAGCACCGGCUAACUUCGUG